UACGUAGGGUGCGAGCGUUAAUCGGAAUUACUGGGCGUAAAGCGUGCGCAGGCGGCUUUGCAAGACAGAUGUGAAAUCCCCGGGCUUAACCUGGGAACUGCAUUUGUGACUGCAUGGCUGGAGUGCGGCAGAGGGGGAUGGAAUUCCGCGUGUAGCAGUGAAAUGCGCAGAUAUCAGGAGGAACACCAGCGGCGAAGGCGCCGCUCUGGGCCGUAACUGACGCUGAGGAGCGAAAGCAUGGGUAGCAAACAGG
rnacentral:rRNA from 1 species